rfam:Schistosoma margrebowiei strain Zambia genome assembly, scaffold: SMRZ_contig0003385
AUCCAUCUGACUAGUCCCAAGCAGAACGAAACACGCUUCCUGGAU